UCGGUCGUGCUAUAUGGUGUAGGUUGGCCUUUUUCCACCCCGUCUCUCCUUCGUCUACUUGUUCUCUCGGUCGUGCUUAUGCUCCCUCUUCCUCCUUCCACAUCCCGAUCUAAUCCCAUCGCCCCAACGCUCUCCCCUUCCCCUCCAUGGUGAGCCGCCUCUCUUCCCAGCUAGUUGCGCCGCCCAAACCCUCUCCGACCUCCAUGGCGGUCUCCCUCUGUCUUAUGCUGCACAAAUACCAGCAAGAUCUGGGUCGACAGGACACAGGCGAUAUCGUCAUCAACCGCCGCCCCUGGUGCCUCGUGCGUGCUGAGGGGCAUCUACUUCGGAUCUGGCCGCGAAGCGGGAACGGUCCAUCGGACUGGGCGGUGAUUGCAAGCUCUGCCUCUAUUCUUCACAGUAGGUUCUGAAUUUGAAUCGGAAUAAACCUGGCCGAAGUUGCAAUCUGCACUAUGGAGCCCUCUCCGCAAGGAACUUUUAUCGACGCGGCUCUGAAACUAGUACUUGACAUGGUAGAAGCAUGGUUUAUUCGGCCUAGAGUAAUACAGUACAUAUACUGUAAUUUCCAGGAUCAUUACGGGCUGUGGCGAGCCGUCUGCUCUUCCUACAGAGUUAGUGUCCAUUUGCGCUGUACUAUACUAUUCGUUAGUGAUCAUGAUCACCUUACUUGGUGUUCUCGAUCGAGCCGCAUAGAUGGUGACUAUGUUGUUGUUGCUGAUGGUUUGAGAGAAACUGAAUUGAAAAGAUUCCUGGACGUAUAAUCUGUCAGGUUUCAUCUGUAAUUUGGAUUCAAGUUUCAGAUGUCUUAGAUAUAAUGUAUCUUCAUCAUUUUCUCUAGCUUGCUACUAUGCCAAGCCACGAUCUCUCUCCUCUGCUGUGGUGUAAGUGGUGCGGGGAGACCCACGCGCGUUCGAGGGAGAGCUAGCCCGUAAGAUGGGCCGUGAGUUUGGAAUUAGGCGGCCACGGCGCGUAGUCUGCCACGGCGGUACGUCGGCAUCCCAUUACCUGCAGGACCAUGGCCCCAUGGCGUCGGCGUCAUUGACCACAGCAAUGCCGACGCCACCCAGGACGUGUACUGGACUGAGGCUCUGUGAUACGAGUAGAUCAUCCAAGAGGGUUAGCAUGUGCACAUCAGUGAUCAUCCAAGGAGUACUACUAUUAUGUUUUAGGUUGUUGUUGCUGCUUUAAUCAACUAUGAACUGCCACUUUGAGUUGUGAUA